GCACAAGCGGUGGAGCAUGUGGUUUAAUUCGACGCAACGCGAAGAACCUUACCUGGGCUCGAAAUGUACCGGAAUCCGGCAGAAACGUCGGCGUCUAGCAAUAGACCGGUAUAUAGGUGCUGCAUGGCUGUCGUCAGCUCGUGUCGUGAGAUGUUGGGUUAAGUCCCGCAACGAGCGCAACCCUUAUCUUCAGUUGCUACCAUUUAGUUGAGCACUCUGACGAAACCGCCUCGGAUAACGGGGAGGAAGGUGGGGAUGACGUCAAGUCCUCAUGGCCUUUAUGUCCAGGGCUACACACGUGCUACAAUGGCCGGUACAAACCGCUGCAAACCCGCGAGGGGGAGCUAAUCGGAAAAAGCCGGCCUCAGUUCGGAUUGUAGUCUGCAACUCGACUACAUGAAGCUGGAAUCGCUAGUAAUCGCGGAUCAGAACGCCGCGGUGAAUACGUUCCCGGGC
rnacentral:rRNA from 1 species